GACGAACUGCCCAAACGUUGUUCGGAAUCACUGGGCUUAAAGGGCGCGUAGGCGGGCAUGCAAGUCAGGGGUGAAAUCCGGCAGCUUAACUGUCGAAGUGCCUUUGAUACUGCAUGUCUUGAGGGAGGUAGGGGUCCGUGGAACUUCUGGUGGAGCGGUGAAAUGCGUUGAUAUCAGAAGGAACGCCGGUGGCGAAAGCGACGGACUGGAUCUCUUCUGACGCUGAGGCGCGAAAGCUAGGGGAGCAAACGGG
rnacentral:rRNA from 1 species